rnacentral:rRNA from 1 species
UACGUAGGCGGAAAAUUAAGUCAGUAGUGAAAUCCUGCAGCUUAACUGUAGAACUGUUAUUGAUACUGGUUUUCUUGAAUAUAGUUGAAGUAGGCGGAAUGUGUAAUGUAGCGGUGAAAUGCUUAGAUAUUACACAGAACACCGAUUACGAAGGCAGCUUACUAAGCUAUGAUUGACGCUGAGGUACGAAAGCGUGGGGAGCGAACAGGAUUAGAUACCCUGGUAGUCC